UCCCUGGUGGUUCAGACGGUUAAGCAACUGUCUACAAUGCAGGAGACCCAGGUUCGAUCCCUGGGCCGGGAA
rnacentral:tRNA from 1 species